CAACAGGGAUUGCCCCCAGUAACGGCGAGUGAAGCGGCAACAGCUCAAAUUUGAAAUCUGGCCCUUGGGUCCGAGUUGUAAUUUGUAGAGGAUGCUUUUGGCGAGGUGCCUUCCGAGUUCCCUGGAACGGGACGCCAUAGAGGGUGAGAGCCCCGUCUGGUCGGACACCGAGCCUCUGUAAAGCUCCUUCGACGAGUCGAGUAGUUUGGGAAUGCUGCUCAAAAUGGGAGGUAUAUGUCUUCUAAAGCUAAAUAUUGGCCAGAGACCGAUAGCGCACAAGUAGAGUGAUCGAAAGAUGAAAAGCACUUYGAAAAGAGGGUUAAAAAGUACGUGAAAUUGUUGAAAGGGAAGCGCCUAUGACCAGACUUGGGCCCGGUGAAUCAUCCAGCGUUCUCGCUGGUGCACUUUGCCGGGCACAGGCCAGCAUCAGUUUGGCGCGGGGGAAAAAGGCUUUGGGAAUGUGGCUCCCUCGGGAGUGUUAUAGCCCAUUGUGUAAUACCCUGCGCCGGACUGAGGUACGCGCAUUGCAAGGAUGCUGGCGUAAUGGUCAUCAGCGACCCGUCUUGAAACACGGACCAAGGAGUCGUCUUCGUAUGCGAGUGUUCGGGUGUCAAACCCCUACGCGUAAUGAAAGUGAACGCAGGUGAGAGCUUCGGCGCAUCAUCGACCGAUCCUGAUGUUCUCGGAUGGAUUUGAGUAAGAGCAUACGGGGCCGGACCCGAAAGAAGGUGAACUAUGCCUGUAUAGGGUGAAGCCAGAGGAAACUCUGGUGGAGGCUCGCAGCGGUUCUGACGUGCGAAUCGAUCGUCAAAUAUGGGCAUGGGGGCGAAAGACUAAUCGAACCUUCUAGUAGCUGGUUUCCGCCGAAGUCCCC
rnacentral:rRNA from 1 species